AACGCACAUUGCGCCCUUUGGUAUUCCGAAGGGCAUGCCCGUCCGAGCGUCAUUUCACCACUCGAGCCCAGCUCGGUGUUGGGCGCCGCGUCCACCGCGCGCCUUAAAGUCCUCGGCCGUGUGGUCCAUCCCCGAGCGUUGUGGCAUUUACGUCUCGCUUUGGGUUGAUGGUCCGCGUCGGCCGUUAAGCCUUCUCACAGGUUGACCUCGGAUCGGGUAGGGAUACCCGCUGAACUUAA
rnacentral:misc_RNA from 1 species